CACUAGGUCUGAAUUUCUGAAGGAGGGUGCUCAGCCUGGACUCCAAACCUGUGUUCCUGGAGGUGACAAUGGAAAGUCCACCCGUGACCUGGAGCAUCACUGGCUUUCUGGCUUUCCAAAGCCCAGCAAAGUCCCAUGUGGAUCAUUUCAUGACACCUCCCAGUGCCUCCCCAGGGAAAAGAGCAAGCAAGCCCCCUCCUAACUACCUGUUGCAGGGAUUCAGGGAGGAAAUAGAAGGCAAUGCCUAUGCUGGGCACCGACCCAGCCACAGAGCCCAGAGCUGAGGUGGUGUGAGCAUCAUGAGGACCACACCCCAGCACUGUGAAAUGAGGGCUAAAGGCAGACCUGCCCCGUCUGAGCAAAUAACACAGGCUGUCGGGACAUUUAGUUGCAGCUUGGCUGUUUGCCCCUGUUACAAGGCUUGGCAAGGAGGGGAUUGCAUUUCUUGCAACAUCCCCACGCGAGGUAACGUGGGUUGCCAGUGGUGUUUGUCUACUGGGACACACAGCAAAUAACCUGGCUGUUUGUCCUGGCCUCCUGCCUGGUGGUUGGUACCAAGUGCUGCUGCUGUCCUGCAAGACAGACCCACACUUGCCACAGGAGGAGGCAUCUCUUCAGCUGCAGGAAGCCCACAGAUGCCAGGGUUUUUGGAAGAAGCAGAUGAGCGGGUGCCAUGGUGAUGGGGGAAGCUACCUGCUCGCUGCAUGUGCUGCUUUGCUUCAUCGGAGGCUGUGGCGCCGUCACAGUCAGCAAGUUAAACAUUGCAAGAAAUAUACUUUACUCCUUCCUUGAUCAGCUGCUGCUGAAUCACUCACCAUUUGUCCUGAUUACAAGGCCCUUAUCAGAGCUUUUUACUACUUUACCCCCCCAUUUCCCCCUUCCUGGUACACCGUGGUUCGUGUCCUGAUCCCCUAGAUAUUUCCAGGCUCUGUGUUUGCAGAGUGCCAGGGUUUCCAUCCUGGCUCUCUUAGCUGGGCUCAGCAUCCUCACUGCCUUCCCAAAGUGCAUGUCAGCUCUGGUGAAGAGCUCUGCCUCACUGAACCCGGGGGAUUUAGCUGCAGCACCCAGCAUGUUUCUGGCAGCUGCCUACCCACCCUGCAUGUUGGCAUCUCUGCUCCUGUAGUGCUCUUCUCCUUCUCACUCCUGGUUUGCAGAUCCAGAUUAUUAGUGCAAAACACCACUGAUCCCAAUGGCAUCACCUUGCCGACUGGGAGGCCAGCAGUUGAUCAGUAGCUGCCCACCGUGGAGCCAGCACCUUUGGCAUCGUGGCAGGCAGGGAGUGAGGCAGCAAGGGCUUGAGUGAAAUGCACCCUCCGGUGUGAAUCACAGCCCUCUGCACUCACUGAAUCAGCAUGGCCUCUUCAACACCCCAUCAGCUUGGACUGCAAAUCAAUCCCCACUGUUCUGGAACAGGAAUAGGGCAAACCAGGCAGAGUUGCCCAAGAAGCCAACCAUGGGUGUGGAUGGCAGAUUGCAGAAUAUACGUGUUUUGCCCAGUUAAGUCUCUCCUGAGACAUUUCUGCCCUCCGCAGCACCCUGGAUGCCCCAUCAGUGUGCUCUGCUAGCAAAAUAUGUUUGGUAUCGAGGUGAGAGUCCACCCUGAGAAGGACCUAAACACCAUGCAUGUGGACAUGCCUGGUGUCUCAUUUUUCUCCCCUUUGCAGGGCAAGAGGGAUGGGGUCCUCAGGAGCACAAUUUGUGGCUGUUCUCCUGAGGAUGGAGAGCCUUGUCUUGCUCAUAAGCCAUCCCAGCAGAGUAUGCUGGAAUUCCAGAUGUGGCCUUAACCCAGGCAAAAUCACACAGGUAGUUUCCAGCCACCCAUGGGGAUGGCAGAAGUCAGCUCUCUGUGUGCUGUGCUGGCUCCUAUCUUGAUGGAUCCAGCUUUUACUGCUGCUCCACCUUCCUAUCUCCUAGAGCUAGACAGCGGUUAAGAAACGGCAUUCAUGUGCAUAUACAUGUUGUAUACGGAGGGAUUCUCUAUUAAUCUUAAAGAUGCUUUGAUCAGAAAAGUAAUAACUUGCUGGCAUGAAUUAUUUUACAAAUUUUGCUUUUGCGGAGAGAAGCUCUUUGGCUUGAGAUUUUCCUUCCUAGCAGAAACAAGUUAUAUCUGAUGAACUAACCUUGCUGCUUUUGUUCUCAAAGCAGUAAUUUACUCUCCAAGCAGUGGCAUCACAACUUACCACCCCUGCAGCAUCAUUUAUUCAGCAGUGCAGUCAGCCAAGAGGAUAACACAGGGUGCAAGUGAUGUGGUUACUAUCUGUGCUGCACCAUCUGACAUGACUUUCCCCUUCUCAGUGUAUUUUCGGACACACAAACUAGCAGGGAAAUGUUUUUCUUCAUGUGAGGAAAUUCAAGUCACCACAAGAUCAAAUUUAUCCCACAGAGCAGCAGCUACAGCUCCCAGUCCAUUCAGUGGAAAAUAGCUGUAA